rnacentral:tRNA from 1 species
GGACCUGUGGCCCAGCCUGGAUAAGGCGAUUCCCUCCUAAGGAAUAGAUCGGGGGUUCAAACACAGUUCUUUCGCCAACUGUGAGCGAGGUGCGGGAACCAGUGAAAGAACGGUUGAAAGUCCUCCCAGGUCCG